GAUCGGCCACAUUGGAACUGAGACACGGUCCAAACUCCUACGGGAGGCAGCAGUGGGGAAUAUUGCACAAUGGGCGAAAGCCUGAUGCAGCAACGCCGCGUGAGGGAUGAAGGCCUUCGGGUCGUAAAACUCUGUCCUCAAGGAAGAUAAUGACGGUACUUGAGGAGGAAGCCCCGGCUAACUACGUGCCAGCAGCCGCGGUAAUACGUAGGGGGCUAGCGUUAUCCGGAUUUACUGGGCGUAAAGGGUGCGUAGGCGGUCUUUCAAGUCAGGAGUGAAAGGCUACGGCUCAACCGUAGUAAGCUCUUGA
rnacentral:rRNA from 1 species